rnacentral:rRNA from 1 species
AACGGCCGCGGUAUCCUAACCGUGCGAAGGUAGCGUAAUCACUUGUUCUUUAAAUGAGGACUAGUAUGAAUGGCACCACGAGGGUUAAGCUGUCUCCUUUUUCUAAUCAGUGAAACUAAUCUCCCCGUGAAGAAGCGGGGAUUAUACUAUAAGACGAGAAGACCCUAUGGAGCUUAAAACAAAUUAACACUUGCUUCUAUCCAUUUUUACUCCUGAACUAACACAUAAAAUAUAGCAUCGUUGAUUAAUAGUUUUCGAUUGGGGUGAUCAUGGAGUAAAAACCAACCUCCACGACGAAAAGGAACACUUCCCUGAGCUAAAAGCUACAACUUUAAGCACUAAAAAAUUAACGCACUUUGACCCAAAUUUUUGAGCAACGAACCAAGUUACCCUAGGGAUAACAGCGCAAUCCAUUUCAAGAGCCCCUAUCGACAAAUGGGUUUACGACCUCGAUGUUGGAUCAGGGUAUCCCAGUGGUGCAGCCGCUACUAAAGGUUCGUUUGUUCAACGAUUAAAACCCUACGUGAUCUGAGUUCAGACCGGAGAAAUCCAGGUCAGUUUCUAUCUAUAAAGGGCUUUUUCUAGUACGAAAGGACCGAAAAAGCAUGGCCAAUGAUCAAUUAAGCCAUAUAAAUUACUCAUGUUUUCAACUCAAUUAGAAACAAACCUACCACAAACCUCAAAAAAAGAGAAGUUAACGUAGCAAAACCUGGCCCUGCAA